CUUUCUCUUUCUAUUCUAGGGUUUAACUGGUCCAAUUGGUCCCCCUGGCCCAGCUGGUCCCAACGGAGAGAAGGGUGAAGCAGGUCCUCGUGGGCCAACAGGUGCUGCUGGAGCUCGCGGUGCCCCUGGUGAGCGUGGUGAGACAGGUCCUCCUGGCCCUGCUGGCUUUGCUGGUCCUCCUGUAAGUAUUGACUUCAGAAAGUAACAGUCACAGUAAAUUCAAGAUGCACAUA